AGCGCGUAGCUAGUCGCGGUAGGGAAAUCCGCCGCGGCGUUUGACGCGAGGCGCAAUGCCAGCUGGCUUGACCGCCGGCGAGUCCGUGUACCCAUGCCUCCAAGAAAAACCUCUAGGCAGGACGCUCGUGCCCGUACCGAGAACCAACACAGGUGGACAAGUAGAGAAUACUCAGGUGAGCGAGCUAACCCUCGUUAAGGAACUCGGCAAAAUCGUCCCGUAACUUCGGGAGAAGGGACGCCCCGGUAGGGUGAACUCCAUACGGAGGGAGCCCGAGGGGGCCGCAGUGAAUAGGUCCAAGCGACUGUUUACCAAAAACACAGGCCUCUGCUAAGUCGAAAGACGAUGUAUAGGGGCUGACGCCUGCCCGGUGCCGGAAGGUUACGCGGAGGUGUUAGCGGCUUCGGCCGCGAAGCACUGAAGCUAAGCCCCGGUAAACGGCGGCCGUAACUAUCAGUUGACCGAGGUAGUUGUAAAACUCGGCUAUAUGCUGGAACGUCCGGAGUGUCCGGCGCUACUCGCGCAAACCUGCGCAGUGACAAUGCGUCCGGUGCGGACAAUCAGCAGGAAAGGCCUCACGUUCGACGGCACAUAGGUGCGCCAAUGGUGAGGAAUCCUCAGAGACUAUACGCCGAGCCCGACGGUUUCACGACCGGCUGGGAUGAGAUAGUCCGAUCUCACGGGCGACCGUGAGAGCUGGCCAGAAAUGAGUCAGCCGCCCCGCGUCUGGGGUAGUAACAACGAUGAACGGUCCUAAGGUAGCGAAAUUCCUUGUCGGGUAAGGAAAAUGGAUUCUUGCCCCGCCGCCCCGCAAGGGGUGGCCGAGAACCGGCUCAUAUCGGGGAAGCCCUCCCUGCCGAUCUGGCAGCGGGUAAUCCCGAGGGAAGUCCUAGUGACCCCGUAACGACUGAUCCGAAAGGAGAGGCUCGCCGCGACGAUGCGGCGGGCAAUACGCCGGCCCUCAUCAGAACAAGGGACGCCUAUGGAGCAGCCGCGCUGGAUCCGUGGUUCGUGACUGGCUUGGUCGAAGGAGAGGGAUGCUUUUGCGUCUCGUUCCAGGUUCGACCGAAGAUGCGACUGGGGCUCGAAGUCAGGCCCUCGUUCGCGUUAUCGCUCAACGAGCGAGACCAGGCACUUCUCGCGGAUCUGCAGACGUACUUCGGAUGUGGCUCGAUCCGCAACUCGCGCUCUGAUCGCACGUUCAAGUUCGAAUCGCGAUCGACCCGCGAGCUGUUGAACGCGGUCGUGCCGCACUUCGAGAGCUUCCCGCUCAUGGGAAGCAAGGCGCGAAGCUUCGACGGCUUCGCGCGCAUCUGCCGGAUGGUCGAACAAGGCGGCCAUCUCGGGCGCGACGGCUUGCGAGAAAUCGUGGCGAUCGCUUACGAGACGAAUCUCGGCAAGCGGCGUCGUUCGCAAGCAGAGCUCCUACGGGUGCUCGAUGAGGUGAAGGGAUAGUCUGCCCCCCUGGAAAGCAGGGGAUCAGGUGAAGUUCCGACCUGCACGAAUGGCGUAACGACUUGGACGCUGUCUCAACGAGGGGCUCGGUGAAAUUAAAGUCUCGGUGAAGAUGCCGAGUACCCGUGGCAAGACGGAAAGACCCCGUGAACCUUUACUGCAACCUGAUAUUGGAGUUCGGGAUAUCUCGCUCAGGAUAGGUGGGAGGCUUUGAACCGGCGGCUUCGGCUGCCGGGGAGCCACCCUUGAGAUACCACCCUUGGUGUUCUGGGCUUCUAACACACCGCCGUAAUCCGGGGUGUGGACAGUGUCAGGCGGGCAGUUUGACUGGGGCGGUCGCCUCCUAAAAUGUAACGGAGGCGCCCAAAGGUUCCCUCAGCACGGUUGGAAAUCGUGCGUAGAGUGCAAACGCAUUAAGGGAGCUUGACUGCGAGACCGACGGGUCGAGCAGGAACGAAAGUUGGGGUUAGUGAUCCGGCGGUUGCAAGUGGAAGCGCCGUCGCUCAACGGAUAAAAGGUACUCCGGGGAUAACAGGCUUAUCGCUUCCAAGAGUCCAUAUCGACGAAGCGGUUUGGCACCUCGAUGUCGGCUCGUCGCAUCCUGGGGCUGGAGUAGGUCCCAAGGGUUGGGCUGUUCGCCCAUUAAAGCGGUACGCGAGCUGGGUUCAGAACGUCGUGAGACAGUUCGGUCCCUAUCUGCCAUGGGCGUUGGAGAGUUGAGAGGAGUCAUCCUUAGUACGAGAGGACCGGGAUGAACGCACCUCUGGUGUAUCUGUUGUCCUGCCAAGGGCACCGCAGGUUAGCUACGUGCGGACUGGAUAACCGCUGAAAGCAUCUAAGCGGGAAGCCAACCUCGAGAUGAGCUCUCCCAUCCCCUUGAGGGAGUAAGCCGCCUGGUAGACCACCAGGUCGAUAGGCCGGCUGUGCAAGCGGGGCAACCCGCUCAGCAGACCGGUACUAAUGCGGCGAGGUCUUGACGGU
rnacentral:rRNA from 1 species